UACGGGGGGUGCGAGCGUUGUCCGGAAUCACUGGGCGUAAAGGGCGCGUAGGUGGUUUGAUAAGGGUGUGGUGAAAGCCCGGAGCUCAACUCCGGGUCUGCCGUGCCGACUGUCAAACUCGAGGGCUGUAGAGGCAGACGGAAUUCCGGGUGUAGCGGUGGAAUGCGCAGAUAUCAGGAAGAACACCGGUGGCGAAGGCGGCUCUCUGGGCCUUACCUGACGCUGAGGAGCGAAAGCGUGGGUAGCGAACAGG
rnacentral:rRNA from 1 species